rnacentral:rRNA from 1 species
UAACUUUCAACAACGGAUCUCUUGGCUCUCGCAUCGAUGAAGAACGCAGCGAAAUGCGAUACGUAAUGUGAAUUGCAGAAUUCAGUGAAUCAUCGAAUCUUUGAACGCAUAUUGCGCUCUUUGGUAUUCCGAAGAGCAUGCUUGUUUGAGUACCAGUAA